rnacentral:lncRNA from 1 species
UUUGUUUUUAGUGCUUUGUUUUUUACAAUUAAAAUAUGUUUUAAUCUUUUUGUUGGUAAACUCCUCAUUUAAUGAACUAUAUUCGUGGUGUGAUUGCCAAUAAGACAAUUCUCUAUCCAAGACUUGUUUUCGCUCAAAUGUCCUACGCUUAUUCUUAUUUUCGCUCAAAUGUCCUAAAAUUUAGGCGCUCAAAUGUCCUAUACUUUGGCGCUCAAACGUCCUUUUUUUUCUCGCUCAAAUGUCCUGUCAAUGCGCUCAAAUGUCCAUUGCCGAAA